AUGGAGAAAUUAAGAAAACAGCAAAAUCUAGGUACUAAUGGACUAGGUAACCAUGUACCUGCAAACGCAUUGGUCCAAAUCUCAUCCAGUUCGUGUGGAGUUAAUGGAGACAACACUUCUUCUCCAUCUCAGGUUGCUGCCAGACCCCAAAAUAUACCAGCUCCCAAACCACUCACAUCUGAGCCUGCCAAUGACACUGUUAACGGAGAAUCAUCCUCAUUUGCACCAAUUGAUCAUGCUUCCACCACCGUGACUCCAACAGUGUCGGAAGAAUAUGCCUUGUCUUUAAAUUGCACUAGUACUACCAUCGAAGAUCCUCCAGUUCAAGAAAUAGUGACUUCCUCUGAAAACGAUGAAUAUACUCCUUCCAGCAGUGCAGAAUUGGGAGCUGAAGUUAGAAGUGUAUUAGCCCAUGACACCUCUAAUUCUGGAAAAAGUUCUGCUUUUGGAGCAGCCAAAUUCAGACAGCCAGAUGGGUGUGUGGAACCUGUGUGGCAGCAGCCUGGAAAUGCCAACACAGAGACUUUGCCCUCAGGGGGGAACAGAGAAAAGAUCUUCAUGGUAGAACCUACUGUGUGGCUCAUAACACUCGAACUACCAUGUGGGAGAGACCACAACCUUUACCUCCAGGUUGGGAAAGAAGAGUUGAUGAUCAUGGAAGGGUUUAUUAUGUGGAUCGUAACACCAGAACAACAUGGCAGCGGCCUACCAUGGAAUCUGUCCGGAUUUGAACAGUGGCAAUCUCCGCGGAACCAAUCACAGGGUGCUAUGCAACAGUUCAACCCGCGAUACCUCUAUUUGGCUUCAGUGUUAGCUGUAGAAAAUGAUCCACAUGGACCUUUGUCACCAGGCUGGGAAAAAAGAGUGGAUUCAACAGAUAGGGUUCACUUUGUGAAUCAUAACACAAAAACAACCCAGUGGGAAGAUCCAAGAACUCAAGGUUUACAGAAUGAAGAACCCCUGCCAGAGGGUGGGAAAUUAGGUACCCUCGUGAAGGUGUUAGGUCCUUGGUUGAUCAUAACAUAAGAACAAUACUCAAAGAUCCUUGCAAUGGGAAGUCAUCCGUAAAUAAAGGUGGUUCACAAAUUGCUCCUGAGUGCAGCUUUAGGUGAAAACGUGCUCACUUCUGUUAUUUGUGCCAGUCUAAUGCACUACCCAGUCAUGUGAAGAUCAAUGUGUCCCGACAGUGCUUGAAGAUUCCUUCCAACAGAUUAUGGCAUUAAAACCCUAUGACUUGAGGAGGUGAUUAUAUGUAAUACUUAGAGGAGAAGAAGGACUUGAUUAUGGUGGCCUAGCAAGAGAAUGGUUUUCCUUGCUUUCACAUGAAGUUUUGAACCCAAUGUAUUGCUUGUUUGAGUAUGCAGGCAAGAACAACUAUUGUUUGCAAAUAAAUUCAGCAUCAACCAUUAAUCCAGACCACCUUUCAUACUUCUGUUUCCUUGGUCGCUUUAUUGCUAUGGCACUAUUUCACGGAAACUUUAUUGAUACUGGUUUCUCUUUGCCAUUCUAUAAGCGACUGCUAAGUAAUAAACUUACUAUUAAGGAUUUGGAAUCUACUGACACUGAAUUUUAUAACUCUCUUAUCUGGAUAAGAGUCAACACAUUGAAGAGUGUGGCUUAGAAAUGUACUUUUCUGUUGACAUGGAGAUUCGGGGAAAAGUUACUUCACAUGAUCUCAAAUUGGGAGGUUCCAAUAUCUUGGUGACUGAGGAAAACAAAGAUGAAUAUAUUGGUUUAAUGACAGAAUGGUGUUUUUCUCGAGGAGUACAAAAACAGACCAAAGCUUUCCUUGAUGGCGCCACCCUCCUUGAUGGUUUUAAUGAAGUUGUUCCUCUUCAAUGGCUACAGUACUUUGAUGAAAAAGAAUUGGAGGUUAUGUUGUGUGGCAUGCAGGUUGACUUGGUAGAUUGGCAGAGAAAUACUGUUUAUCGACACCAUACAAGAAACAGCAAGUAAAUCAUUUGUUUUUGGCAGUUUGUGGAAGAGACAGACAAUGAAGUAAGAAUGCGACUGUUACAGUUCGUCACUGGAACCUGUCGUUUACCUCUAGGGGGAUUAGCUGAGCUCAGGGGAAGUGAUGGGCCUCAAAAGUUUUGCAUUGAAAACGUUGGCAAAGACACCUGGUUACCAAGAAGCCAUUCACGUUUGAAUCGCGUGGAUCUACCACCAUAUAAGAGUUAUGAACGACUAAAGGAAAACUUCUUUUUGCAAUAGAAGAGACAGAGGCGUUUGGACAAGAAUGAACAUGUAGCUGCUUGGUUUGGAGGAGCUCUUGCAUUUAAAUACCCCAGCCAAAAAAAAUGGCACAGACAGUGUCUAUAAGCUGUUCAUUCUGUACAGUGAAUUUUCUGAACCUCUCAAAGUAUAAAUGCUCUUCAUUCUUCCACAGACAUAUGCGAAACAAGUCAUCCUUUUCUACUUUAUUGUUCCCUUGAAAUGACUGACCAGGAAAAAGAUCAUCCUUAAAUUUUGAAGCAAGCAAGAGACUUUAUUAUAAAUAAGCAGUAUAUAUCUAUAUAAGCAUUUAUGAUAGUGGCUCUAGUUUUAUAGAGCUCCAAGUGUAUUAAACAUGACAGCCAUUCCUUCAAAGAGAUCUGGAUUGGCUUUACCUUGUUUGUAUUAUCCAGGGGAAAGAGUGCGACUAGCUCUGUGGUCUUCUCCCUCAUUACCAUCUUCUAAGGGGUGUUUAGCUGCACGGCUAUUCAGGAAGGUUUUAAGGGCUUAGGCCAAAUCUUACUUUGCAUAUAUUUCCAAAAAAUGCUGCUGGCUUUUCUGAAGACAGGUGCUUAAACCUGUCAAUUUGUUUUAGGUAAAUACGAUAGU